rnacentral:lncRNA from 1 species
AAAAUGAACUGUCCUACGACCUACAAGUCGGACACGCUCUCCAAUCCUUAUAACUUCAUCUCUGCAACUCCUCAAGGCCAACCAAAGCUAUCUGGCCGCUCCGUCCACCGAGGACCUGAAAUUUUAAUCCCACAACCGAGAUGAGACGAUGUCUCAGCAAGUUCAACCCCCUAAACCCCUAUUAGAAAGAAAAUACGCCCCGAGUGGCCUAGCCACAUCACACAGAAGACUUACCUCGCCUCAGCCUUCAUCUGCAGGUUAGCACAAUUUAUAUAUAAUUCAACCACGUACCAUUAGGAUAACCAAACAACCAUGGCACAAUCACAUUAUCAAAACAAUUAAACCCCUUGGAUCGUCUCAGCGAUCAAUCGACUUAGCCGAUUACAUGUCAUUCUAGCAAAUCAAUCAUUGCUCU